rnacentral:rRNA from 1 species
GAUGAACGCUGGCGGCGUGCCUAAUACAUGCAAGUCGAGCGAAUGGAUUAAGAGCUUGCUCUUAUGAAGUUAGCGGCGGACGGGUGAGUAACACGUGGGUAACCUGCCCAUAAGACUGGGAUAACUCCGGGAAACCGGGGCUAAUACCGGAUAACAUUUUGAACCGCAUGGUUCGAAAUUGAAAGGCGGCUUCGGCUGUCACUUAUGGAUGGACCCGCGUCGCAUUAGCUAGUUGGUGAGGUAACGGCUCACCAAGGCAACGAUGCGUAGCCGACCUGAGAGGGUGAUCGGCCACACUGGGACUGAGACACGGACCAGACUCCUACGGGAGGCAGCAGUAGGGAAUCUUCCGCAAGGGACGAAAGUCGGAAGGAGCAACGCCGCGUGAGUGAUGAAGGCUGUCGGGUCGUAAAACUCUGUUGUUAGGGAAGAACAAGUGCUAGUUGAAUAAGCUGACACCUUGACGGUACCUAACCAGAAAGCCACGGCUAACUACGUGCCAGCCGCCGCAGUAA